rnacentral:lncRNA from 1 species
AAAAAGUGUUUCUGUACUGAUUCAAUACGGUCUUGAUGUAUGUUGUACUGAGGGCACCAUACACAUGAGCCGUAUUCUAAAAUCGGACGAACAAGCGAGAUAUAUAGAGUCUUCGUUAUGUAGGGGUCAUCAAAUUCCUUUGACCACCUCUUUAUAAACCCAAGCACACCCAUGGCUUUAUUUACCGCGGUAAAAAUGUGUUCAGAAAACUUUAACUUGGGUUCUAGUUUAACACCUAGAUCAUCAACCAAUGUAAUUCUCUCAAGAGAACUACCGCAGA